rnacentral:lncRNA from 10 species
CUGUUUGACAGUCAUUCACGAGCAACUUAGAAUUGCAAGAAAGGUGUCCUUGGCGUGUACACCCUGUGGAAUCUGGUUCAUCUUCAAUCUGUCAGAAGGCAUCAGAGGUGGUUUUGACUCCUUAUGUCUUGGACCUGUGCACAAAAAGUGUUGACCCAAAGUGGAUGGUCAGCUUUCUAAACUGGCCUGGCUUCUUGAUGAAGUUUUUGAAUUCAUGAGCUAGCGGGCAGGAGAGGAUGCAGGAGACUGUACAAAGUUCAAGAAACGAUAUGCUUUAAUCAAGGUGAGAAAUGUGAAAUCUGAACAAGUUAGACGGUGACUCCAUGUCUAGAUGGUAUAAUGUGAUGUUCUGACCAACAA